UGCGUCUGGCCAGACACAAAGCAACUCCAUGUUUACCCCAGCCCGACUUUUGGUCAGUACCCAUGCCUGGUUCACGCCCUGGACACAUGG